rnacentral:lncRNA from 1 species
GGCACUUGAGAAUCCAGGUACCAACUUGCUUUUCAGAUGACACACGUCCUCGCGCUAGUCGUAGCAAUACAAGCAAACAUGAUAUAGAUAAAAUUAACAUCACACCAAACAUAAGAACAUACUGCAUAAUAAUGAUAUACUCAGUGCUACGAGACUAACGCAACUCGAACGGAUCAAAUCGGAGUUAAAACGGAGGAGUUAUGAUUUUCUGAAGAUUCUUGUGUGUUUUGUACAAGAUUAAAUGGGAUAUAAAUUCUAAUGUGACUUUCAUAUCAAAACAGUAGUAUUAGAUGAUAUACAAUAAUAUUACAAAAUUAUAGGAAUUGGAACGAAUUAAUUUGGGCUUAAUAUGAAUUUUCUAUGAAUUACUCAAGUUUUAUAAUUAUUUUUAUACUCAAAAUCAAUUUCUAAAUCUAUUUUCUGGUUUCAUUUAAUUCCUGGACUGGGCCUCAAUUUUCAGAAAGCUCAAGGGUCUCUGCGAAAGAUAACCUAGACCCAGGGAACAGUGGCCAAUGGACGGCGGGUUGGUUUCCUGAAAGCAGAGGGGCUCUUUAGCAAUAUUGACCCGCGAAGGGGUACAGUGGUAUUCUGGCCGUUGGAUUCCUCCUGGAUGGCCCGGAUUAGAUCUUACCCUCAGCACAAUCAUACCACGCUCUGACCCGAUGGAUUAAGGAUCAACGGCACACAGUGGUCCGCGUCUACUCUUAACUCAAGCCCACAGAUCCCGAUCGGACGGCCCAAUCUUCAUCAAGCGCUACACCUAAUCUGAACCGAACGAUACACGAUCCACGGCCGAGGUGCUAUCGAGACCCGAGUCAAAUCUGACCGCACGAUAUGGAUCUAACGGCCCAAACACCGUCUUCUCCCCCCCGGUCAUCCGAGCGGCCAGGAGCAGAGCUCCACGGCGCGCUCACCGGCGAGCACCCGCUGACGGCCCAGUACCCCGAAAGCCACCCCGAAUAAUUCCACAUGAAGUGCACGGUACUGUGAACAGGAGGAGGCAGAGAUUACCCGCGUUUGAACGGUGACGAAGCUCGGCCACGGCGACAGGUGCUCCGCGGCGGCGCUGCUCGCACAACGAAGAAAUUCCCGGAGCCUCAGCUGAUCUCUCUCCGAUUAACUCCUUCCAGAGCCUUGCUAGGGACCGGACUACCUACGUAUGGCUCAAUCGUAGCCCGACACACGCCGCCGACGUGGAUCCGCCGCGGCGGCUGAUUUCUCUCCCACGCACCCUACGUCACGGGUCUCUCCCACGCGGUACAAUGUGGCAAAAGAUGGCCUCUGGAAAUCGAAUCAGGAGAAUGCCCUGCGCCUUGGGUCUUAUGGGGGAGGGCAACACCGGUUCGGUCGAAGUUGCCAUGGACGGCGCGCGGAAGAAUCGCCGGUGGGUUCGGCUGGGUAGUUGCGGUGCCUGGCCACAAGGCCCCACACUCCAG